rnacentral:rRNA from 1 species
CACGCAGGGGGCUAGCAUUGUUGGGAAUUACUGGGCGUAAAGCGCACGUAGGCGGACUUGUAAGUUGGGGGUGAAAUCCCGGGGCUCAACCCCGGAAUUGCCUUCAAGACUGCAAGUCUGGAGGUCAGGAGAGGCGAGCGGAAUUCCGAGUGUAGAGGUGAAAUUCGUAGAUAUUCGGAGGAACACCAGUGGCGAAGGCGGCUCGCUGGACUGAUACUGACGCUGAGGUGCGAAAGCGUGGGGAGCAAACAGG